AUUGAACGCUGGCGGCAUGCCUUACACAUGCAAGUCGAACGGCAGCACGGGUGCUUGCACCUGGUGGCGAGUGGCGAACGGGUGAGUAAUACAUCGGAACAUGUCCUGUAGUGGGGAAUAGCCCGGCGAAAGCCGGAUUAAUACCGCAUACGAUCUACGGAUGAAAGCGGGGGACCUUCGGGCCUCGCGCUAUAGGGUUGGCCGAUGGCUGAUUAGCUAGUUGGUGGGGUAAAGGCCUACCAAGGCGACGAUCAGUAGCUGGUCUGAGAGGACGACCAGCCACACUGGGACUGAGACACGGCCCAGACUCCUACGGGAGGCGGCAGUGGGGAAUUUUGGACAAUGGGCGAAAGCCUGAUCCAGCAAUGCCGCGUGUGUGAAGAAGGCCUUCGGGUUGUAAAGCACUUUUGUCCGGAAAGAAAUCCUUGGCCCUAAUACGGUCGGGGGAUGACGGUACCGGAAGAAUAAGCACCGGCUAACUACGUG
rnacentral:rRNA from 1 species